UUCAAUCCCAAUCCCGGCACCCCCAAAUUUCAUCUCUCUCUCUCUCUACCAUCUCUUUCUUCAUCACGCUAUCUAGUGCCUCGAUGGCGAUGACGUCAAUGACAAUGACGUGAGCAUCGUUGUAUCGAUCUGUGAGAUUAUGACGCUACCCUCUCUCUUCAUCAUUGUUUUGGUGUCGAUUUAAGAUGAUGUGAGCAUGCAGCUGCAACGCGGUGUGAGCACUAGGCAGUUGUUGGUGGUUGUUUGUGGAUGGUGAUGAUGGUGUUUGUGAAUGUGGAGAUGGUAGAUGUGGUGUGGUGGUUGAUCCUUUCUUAGUGUGGUUGGCACGUUUGUGCGUCUGCACUAUGGCUCGAAAUUUUGUUAUGCGGGCAUUCGAAUUGCAGGUCUGGGGAUUUGAGCUGCAAAUAUUUUAUUUUCACAAUCUUGAAUUGGUUGUAUAUCCCAUUUUGAUUAUACUUUUUAAUCUAGAACGUUGGAUUUUGAUUUGGUUUAAAGAAUAAUUUUACAAGCAUACGUUCACUUGCCUAUAUUUUGUUUGAUUAGUUAUUGGAUUUAUGUACACUUUUUGUUUAUCGCAGUGGUAGCAGUGAUUGUAGUAGAAUAGGCAGAUGCUGUGAUAGUUGUGGUGGUUGCGGUUUGUUGUGGUGGCUGUGAUAGUUGUGGUGGUUUGGUUUGUUGAAGGUGUUGAUGGAAGUGAUAGUGGCAGUGAUUAUUGUUUUGGAUUUGAGUUGAAGGUGAUGGCGGUAGUGACCAGUGGUGGAUUGUGGUGCUGGACUGCAGUGUGUGUGGAUUUGUUUGUGGUAACCCUCUGUGAUCAAGUAUGUAUUUAUUGUGAUUAGUUGUGACCAAUUUUUUGUUAAUUGUGAUCGAUUGUAACUUAAUCACAUAUUGUCACAAUAAGAUUGAUAUGAUCACAAACAGUCACACUAAAAACAAAAUUGGUCAUAGUUAAUUGCAAAUAACACAAGUUAGUGGCUUAUUUAUUUACAAUCACAAAUUAUAUGGUCACAAACAAUCAUACUGAAGACAAAUUUGAUUAGAGUUAGUCACAUAUAACACAUGUCUAGUUACAAACAAUAAAUUUGAUCACAAAAAACACAAUUAUUAACAAAUUUGUUCGCCUACAAUGCUCCUCACAGUACCCAAAACACUGCUACCUCCACCACCACAUAAAUCAACUCUAAUGCACUUCAUAACCUGCAAUGCAUCAUCAUCAUUACCAUGUAGAUCUAUUUUCUAAAUAUAGUUGCCAUACCACUACCCACAAAGCUAUUUUGUUUUUGUAAAUGUAUAUAUAAAGAGAAAGCUUUUGUUAAGAGAGAGAACGUUUAAUUUCUUGGAUUUCUAGAGUGAGGCUGGAUGGGGUGUAAUCUCUAGGAAAUGUUUUAAAUUUCUAGAGAUUUUCUAUAGGCGGGGUGGUGGUCCCAUGGGGUGGGAUGUAAUCUCAAUACAAAGUUUUCAACUUUUCAAAAUUUUCUACAGAUAAGGUAUAUGGAGGGGUGGGGGUCCAAUGGGAUGGUGUCACAUCAUCACCACCACCUGCAAAGCUAUUUGUGUUUGUAAUGUAUAUAUAAGAACUUAUUUGGGAGUAAUUUUGAGAAUUAAUUUUUUGACGUUUAGAAGAAAAGUGGAGUUCACUUGUGAAAAAAGAAGUCAAAUAUGACGGUUGAAAUAGUGAAAUAAUGGUCAAAAAAUCAAUUUUUUGGAGGAAAAAAUCACUUUCAAACAAGUUUUAAAGAGAGCUUUUGUAGAGAGAGAAAAAGCUUUGAAUUUCU
rnacentral:lncRNA from 1 species